AAGACAGAACACACAUAGGCAAGUCAUUGAGGGCAUGAGGCUUUAGGCAGUCACAGGGUUUCACUGUGGAAGCAGUGAUGCUACUGAAAACUGUGCUGAAUCCUGGGAUGUCUUGGCCUCUAAAGGCCUUACUGGGCCACUUUUUCUGCUGACUCUAAUGCCCUGACUCCUGCUGAUACAACUUCACUUUAUAUCCAGCUGUCAGGACCUUGAGUGUCACCAAUCUGUUUGACAUUUCUUGAACUUCAGAGACCAGAAUGCAGAAUUCCUACCUCAUUUCAACCAAUGUGAAGACUCUUCCUGCUUUCCCUUCACCUUUUGCCAUGAAUGUAAAUUUCCUAAGUCCUCCCAGUCAUGCUUCCUGUUAAACCCGUGGAACGAGACAGUGUCUUGCCAUGUUGUCCAGGCUACCCUUGAAAUUCUGACAUCAAUUACUCUUCCCACCUUGGCCUCCCAAAGCACUGGGAUUACAGACAUUAGCCAUCAUGCCCCACCAUGCUGUUCAUCUGGAGAACAGAAGAGAGCAGAAGUAAAACUUGUCCCCCCUGAAACUCCUCAGAAUUGUCAGAUUUAGGUUUUUGAUUGAAGAAAAAAAAUGAAGAUGACCUUGGGAAUGGCAAUAAUUGUUUAAAUAAAAGGCACAAUGCAUGAAAGAAAUAACUGAUAGCUGGAAUUCAUUAGAAUUGAAACUUCACAGACUGGAAGAAAAUAUUUAUAAAAGACACAUCUAAUAAGGGUCUGUUUCCCAAGACAUACAAUUAUUAAAACUCAAGAAUAGAAAAGAAACAACUCAACAAACAGACCAAUAACCUUACCAGACAGAAAAUGUACAGACAGGAAAAAGGCAUAGAUGUACACAUCCUAUAUCGUCAGGAAAAUGCAAAUUAAAACAAUGAGAUGUCACUCUACACCUAUUAGAGUGACCAAGAUCCAGAGCACUGACACCACCAAAUAUUGGUGAGAAUGUGGAGCAAACAGUACCUUUCAUUCAUUGCUGGCGGGAAUGCAAAGUGGUAUAGCCACUUUGGCAGCGAGUUUGGUGAUUAUUUUGCAAAAGUAAAUACACUCUUUCUAUAUGAUACAGUAGUCAAGCUCCUUUGUUUUUAGACGAAAGAGUGAAAAAAUUAUAUCCUCACAAAUACCUGCACAUAUUUGUUUGUAUCAGCUUUAUUCAUAGUGACCAAAACUUGGAAGUACCACGAUGUUAUUCAGUAGGUAUGUAAAUACACUAUGCUAAAUCCAGACAAUGGGAUGUUAUUCAGCACUAAAUGCUAAAAAUUUUCAGCACUUUUGUGGCUACUAAGCCAUUACGUGAAGGAAAUAUAAAUGCACCCACCACUAAGUAAAAUAAGCUAAUCUUGAAAGGUUACAUCAUAUAUUAUUCCAAUUACAUGCCAUUCUGGAAAAGGCAAAACUAUGGAGACAGUGAAAAGAUCUGUGGUUGCCAGGGAUUAGGCGAGAGGAUUGAAAAGACAAAUCAUAUAGGAUUUUUACCGUAGUGAGAAUACUAUAUAUAUUACUGUGAUUAUGGUUAUAUGCCUGUAUACCUUUGCCCAAACCUAUAGAAUGUACAACAUUGAGUGCACCCUAAUGCAAAUCAUGGACUUGAGUGACUAUGUUGUAUCAAUGUAGGUUCAUCAAUGAUAACAAAUGUACCACUCUGGUAGGGGAUAAUGAUAAUGGGAGACAUUAUACAUGUGUGGGGGUAGGGAGGACGUGGGAACUCUCUGAGCUUUAUUCUAAAUUCUGCUGUGAACUUCCAACUGUCCUUAAAUAGUCUGUAAGCAUGAUCACAACAAAAAACAUAUAAGUGUAAACAUAAAAGCAAAACCAAAUCAAAUACAUACGUAUAUAGGCAUACUCCAUUAGCCCACUACAUGUGUGCCCUAUUGGAAAAGGGGGAGUUGUGAAAUAAAGAUAGAAACUGGGUUAUUUACUAA